GAAUGUGCAUGAGAAUCACCAGGAAUGUUGGUUACAAAUACAAGAUUCAUUGCCUUCAUCCUAGAGAUUCUAACUCAAUGUCGACCUACAAGCGGGCCACGUUGGACGAGGAGGACCUGGUGGACUCACUCUCCGAGGGCGACGCGUAUCCCAACGGCCUGCAGGUGAACUUCCACAGCCCCCGGAGUGGCCAGAGGUGCUGGGCUGCGCGGACCCAGGUGGAGAAGCGGCUGGUGGUACUGGUGGCACUUCUGGCGGCAGGACUGGUGGCCUGCUUGGCAGCGCUGGGCAUCCAGUACCAGACAAGAUCCCCUUCUGUGUGCCUGAGCGAAGCUUGUGUCUCAGUGACCAGCUCCAUCUUGAGCUCCAUGGACCCCACCGUGGACCCCUGCCAUGACUUCUUCAGCUAUGCCUGUGGGGGCUGGAUCAAAGCCAACCCGGUCCCUGAUGGCCACUCACGCUGGGGGACCUUCAGCAACCUCUGGGAACACAACCAGGCGAUCAUCAAGCACCUCCUCGAAAACUCCACGGCCAGCGUGAGCGAGGCAGAGAGAAAGGCGCAAGUGUACUACCGUGCGUGCAUGAACGAGACCAGGAUCGAGGAGCUCAGGGCCAAACCUCUAAUGGAGUUGAUUGAGAGGCUUGGGGGCUGGAACAUCACAGGUCCCUGGGCCAAGGACAACUUCCAGGACACCCUGCAGGUGGUCACUGCCCACUACCGCACCUCACCCUUCUUCUCUGUCUACGUCAGUGCCGAUUCCAAGAACUCCAACAGCAACGUGAUCCAGGUGGACCAGUCUGGCCUGGGCUUGCCCUCGAGAGACUAUUACCUGAACAAAACUGAAAAUGAGAAGGUGCUGACCGGAUAUCUGAACUACAUGGUCCAGCUGGGGAAGCUGCUGGGCGGCGGGGACGAGGAGGCCAUCCGGCCCCAGAUGCAGCAGAUCUUGGACUUUGAGACGGCACUGGCCAACAUCACCAUCCCACAGGAGAAGCGCCGCGACGAGGAGCUCAUCUACCACAAAGUGACGGCGGCCGAGCUGCAGACCUUGGCACCCGCCAUCAACUGGUUACCUUUUCUCAACACCAUCUUCUACCCCGUGGAGAUCAACGAAUCCGAGCCUAUUGUGGUCUAUGACAAGGAAUACCUUGAGCAGGUCUCCACUCUCAUCAACAACACCGACAAAUGCCUGCUCAACAACUACAUGAUUUGGAACCUAGUGCGGAAAACAAGCUCCUUCCUCGACCAGCGAUUUCAGGACGCCGAUGAGAAGUUCAUGGAAGUCAUGUACGGGACCAAGAAGACCUGUCUUCCUCGCUGGAAGUUUUGCGUGAGUGACACAGAAAACAACUUGGGCUUUGCGUUGGGCCCCAUGUUCGUCAAAGCAACCUUCGCCGAGGACAGCAAGAGCAUAGCCACUGAGAUAAUCCUGGAGAUCAAGAAGGCGUUUGAGGAAAGUCUGAGCACCCUGAAGUGGAUGGACGAGGAAACCCGAAAAUCAGCCAAGGAAAAGGCCGAUGCCAUCUAUAACAUGAUAGGAUACCCCAACUUCAUCAUGGACCCCAAGGAGCUGGACAAAGUGUUUAAUGACUACACCGCAGUUCCAGACCUCUACUUCGAGAAUGCCAUGCGGUUUUUCAACUUCUCGUGGAGGGUCACUGCCGACCAGCUCAGGAAAGCCCCCAACAGAGAUCAGUGGAGCAUGACCCCGCCCAUGGUGAACGCCUACUACUCGCCCACCAAGAAUGAGAUUGUGUUUCCAGCCGGGAUCCUGCAGGCACCAUUCUACACGCGUUCCUCGCCCAAGGCCUUAAACUUUGGUGGCAUCGGUGUCGUCGUGGGCCAUGAACUGACUCAUGCUUUUGAUGAUCAAGGACGGGAGUAUGACAAGGAUGGGAACCUCCGACCGUGGUGGAAGAACUCAUCCGUGGAGGCCUUCAAGCGUCAGACCGAGUGCAUGGUUGAACAGUACAGCAACUACAGCGUGAACGGGGAGCCAGUGAACGGGCGGCACACCCUGGGGGAGAACAUCGCUGAUAACGGGGGCCUCAAGGCGGCCUAUCGGGCUUACCAGAACUGGGUGAAGAAGAACGGGGCUGAGCAGACGCUGCCCACCCUGGGCCUCACCAAUAACCAGCUCUUCUUCCUGGGCUUUGCACAGGUCUGGUGCUCCGUCCGCACACCUGAGAGCUCCCACGAAGGCCUCAUCACCGACCCCCACAGCCCCUCUCGCUUCCGGGUCAUCGGCUCCCUCUCCAAUUCCAAGGAGUUCUCAGAACACUUCCACUGCUCACCUGGCUCACCCAUGAACCCGCCUCACAAAUGCGAAGUCUGGUAAGGACGAAGCGGAGAGAGCCAAGACGGAGGAGGGGAAGGGGCUGAGGACGAGCCCCCCCGUCCAGCCUCCAGGGCAUUGCUCAGCCCGCCUGGCCCCCCGGGGCCCUGCUUCCCCGCACUGAAGGGUUUUCGGCUGGAACCGAGCCCAUGGUGUCGGCUCUCAACAGAACCCACCAUCUGACCCUUGUGAAGAGCCGGACAUCCGGGCACACGCGUGCGCCACCUUCAGCGGGCAUUCGGGUGUCGGGCGGGUGGCUCCUCAGGCCUGGGCCCCAUGCUGACAAGCGCCACAUACGCCACAAAUACCACUGUGUCAAAUGCUUUCAAGAUAUAUUUUUGGGGAAACUAUUUUUUAAACAUUGUGGAAUACACUGGAAAUCUUCAGGGAAAAACGCAUUUAAACACUUUUUUUUUUUAAGGAAAGAAUUGGUAUAUUUAUUAUGUUCUGUUUUUCUAAAUAACCUGUGGACAAGGGAAGCCCCACUGAUUUACCCCCUUUCUUCCCCACUCCCUGUGGAGCUGGGCUGAGGCAGGGAUCCCUGGGCCACAGAGCAAGUCUCCAAAUCAGACAGCUGCCUCGGCUCUUGGGAUGUGUGAUUUCAGCUCCUGUCACCUCGUGCAGAGGCUUGGAGACCAGUAGAGGUGUGGAGGCCAGGCAGAGGGAGGAGCCGGCUCUGGGAGGUCCCAGCUCAUGGGCACUGCCCCUUCAGCUAGCCUGCCUCUGUCCCCUGAGUCCAACAGUGGGAGCCCUAGCAGGGAAGUUCUGAUCCCCAAAGCCACAGCAGGGGACUGAUGGCUAUGGCAGAAUGAGGCCAGGUCAGGACCCUCAAACAUCAUCUGGGCGUACCAAGCACCCUGAAGCCAGACUGCAGGAGCCCUGCAGGGUGAGACUCUAUCAGAGAUACACUGCUGGCCACAGGUGUCCCCUCUCGGUCCCACCUUUUCAGGCUGUCCCAUGUCUAUCUCAGGGGCCCAUUACCUCUCUGCAGCAGUCCCCCAUCCCAGCCACACCAGGGUCUGUCUGGCCAACCUCUUCCCCAGGGAAAGGAGAAAAGAGAAAAUAGGCCGGGUACGGUGGCUCACUCCUGUAAUCCCAGCACUUUGGGAGGUCGAGGUGGGUGGAUCACCAGAGGUCAGGAGUUCGAGACCAGCCUGGCCAAUGUGGUGAAACACCAUCUCUACUAAAAAAAAUACAAAAAUAAGCCGGGUGUGGUGACGGGCACCUGUAAUCCCAGUUACUCGGGAGGCUGAGGCUAGAGAAUCGCUUGAACUCAAGGAGGCAGAGGUUGCAGUGAGCUGAGAUUGCGCCACUGCACUCCAGCCUGGGUGACAGAGGGAGACUCUGUCUCAAAAAAAAAAAGAAAAGAGAAAACAGCUCUCACCUCCCGCAGGACCCAAAUCCUAUUUCUCUCUCUAAGCACCGUCAUCCACCACAUGGCUGGGCCUGGCUCCCAGGACCAGUCCAGUCCUCUAGUGCCUUAUCUGAGGCUGCAGCCACCAGUCUCCACCCCAAGGAGACAGCCCCUGCCCCUAGAUGCUCCUUGGCCUCCUCAGUGCAGCCCCCAGGUGUCCUGACGGAAGCACAGGCUGUAGCCCCAUUUCCCCGGUGCCUGCAGGGCUAACCCCCACGGCAGCCCAGGAGCUCUGGCCUGCAGGCCCGCGGCAGGGGGCAUCGGAAGACUGCAGAACUGCUGGGCUUACCCUGGGUGGCAGUCCGUUGUUGGCCCCUGGGUUGAAUCAAGAUAGUCCUUGUAGCUAGAUGGAUGGACUCCCCUUUGAGGGAUGCUUUUAGCCAGGGGACACUGUGAGAGGAAGGUUCCUCAACCCAGUCUGACCGGUGGUGUCUGUCCCUUGCCUGAGACCACAGCUUCUCCAAUAGCAGAUUGACAGGCUCCACCAAGUGGAAGCACCUGGAGCGGUCUCUGCCGUCCAGUGAGGAAGCCAGGCCCCAAGACAGAGGCGGGGGCAGCACGUGCCCUCCACAGCCACCGCUUUUCCACCUCAGCAGCCCAGGCCUCCUGACCCAGCCCUGCCCGGACAGUGGGCUCCCCUCACCCGGGAAGCCGGAAUCCUCCUGCCUGAGAGGAAGCAGACAGCACAGGGACACGCCUGCCACCUCGGGGUCAGCCUCCGAGCUGGUGCAGGGUGUCAAGAGUGGAUUCCAGAGGGAGGCCCUGGUCCCAGCACGCAGCAAUCCUGGUAGCUCUGCAGAGGAGACAGGAACCCGAGAAGGAACUAGGGUAGGAGGCGGCCGUAGUCCCCUUGCCACAUAGAGGUGGGCUUCUCCCAGCCAUGGUGUCCCCUCUGCCUCCCCUCCCCUGACCCUCCUGCCUUCCACGUGGAGAUGGUCCUGCAGUGUCAGCACCAGCACCAUGGGCCUGGACCCCCUGGACUGAGGCAGGUGUCCUAGGACUGGGGGUGCAGCCCGAGGGAAUGGAGACCACACUCCUGGCUCAGGUCUGCCGGGGCCGGCAGUGGGUUGGGGAAGAAGAGGGCUCAGGCCCAACAGGGGUGGAAACCCCUGCCACUGCUACUACCCCCUCCAAAGCUUUAAGGAAGAUGAAGUGAGACCCCUCCCCUUAGGCCUGGGGAGCCAUACGGCUGGCUUCUCUGUGGGUGCGUGGACAUGGAGUUGGGAGCUGGGAAUCUAUUUUUUGUAUUAUGUUUUGUGCUACUGUAGUUUUGGUGUGGCACUAUUGUAAUGGAAAUAAAGUACUUGUAAGGAGG